rnacentral:rRNA from 1 species
CACGUAGGGGGCAAGCGUUGUCCGGAUUUAUUGGGCGUAAAGAGCUCGUAGGCGGCUCAGUAAGUCAGGUGUGAAACCUCCAGGCUCAACCUGGAGACGCCACCUGAUACUGCUGUGGCUAGAGUCCGGUAGGGGAGCGUGGAAUUCCUGGUGUAGCGGUGAAAUGCGCAGAUAUCAGGAGGAACACCAGCGGCGAAGGCGGCGCUCAGGGCCGGAACUGACGCUGAGGAGCGAAAGCGUGGGUAGCAAACAGG